GAUGAACGCUGGCGGCGUGCUUAACACAUGCAAGUCGAACGGAAAGGCUCUUGCUUGCUGGGGUACUCGAGUGGCGAACGGGUGAGUAACACGUGGGUGAUCUGCCCUGCACUUCGGGAUAAGCCUGGGAAACUGGGUCUAAUACCGGAUAGGACGAUGGUUUGGAUGCCAUUGUGGAAAGUUUUUCGGUGUGGGAUGAGCUGGGGGCCUAUCAGCUUGUUGGUGGGGUAAUGGCCUACAACGGCGUCGAGGGGUAGCCGGCCGGGGGGGGUGUACGGCCCAAUGGGAAUGAGGGAGGGCCCAGUGGGCCAUGGGGGGCAAUGGGGGGGAAUAUUGGACAAAGGGGGGAAGUCCGAGGAGACGGCCCCCGGGGGGGGAAGAACGGCUUUGGGGUUUAAAAAGCCUUAGGCUGGGACGAAGCGGCAGGGACGGUAACCGGGAAAGAAGCACCGGCUAACUUCGUG
rnacentral:rRNA from 1 species